rnacentral:rRNA from 1 species
GAUGAACGCUGGCGGCGUGCCUAAUACAUGCAAGUCGAGCGAACGGACGAGAAGCUUGCUUCUCUGAUGUUAGCGGCGGACGGGUGAGUAACACGUUGAUAACCUACCUAUAAGACUGGGAUAACUUCGUGAAACCGGAGCUAAUACCGGAUAAUAUUUUGAACCUCAUGGUUCAAAAGUGAAAGACGGUCUUGCUGUCACUUAUAGAUGGAUCCGCGCUGCAUUAGCUAGUUGGUAAGGUAACGGCUUACCAAGGCAACGAUGCAUAGCCGACCUGAGAGGGUGAUCGGCCACACUGGAACUGAGACACGGUCGAGACUCCUACGGGAGGCAGCAGUAGGGAAUCUUCCGCAAUGGGCGAAAGCCUGACGGAGCAACGCCGCGUGAGUGAUGAAGGUCUUCGGAUCGUAAAACUCUGUUAUUAGGGAAGAACAUAUGUGUAAGUAACUGUGCACAUCUUGACGGUACCUAAUCAGAAAGCCACGGCUAACUACGUG